GGAUGUUAUCGAUUUUGACAAACUUUGAAUAAUUUAUGGCUCGGAAAAGAAAAUUCAAAAAUGUCCCAGUAUACGACAUAGCAAGCUUUCCUAGCGUUGAUAGAUCUUUAAGCCAGCUAUUAGUCCAUCCACUAACUGGGUGUGACACAGUGUCUUAUUUUGGAGGGUGCUACAAAAGAAAACUGCAUUGGAUGCCAGGAAAUUAAUUCAUUCUCAACGGACUAUAGAACCAAACAAUUACAUCGUCAGAAGAAAACAUCACAAAGCAAUCUAUGGACGUUAUUGAGAGAGCAUGAUACACUACUCAAGUUGAAAAAGCUAGAUGUCAACAAAGUACAAUAUUUCUGGCAAUAAAC